rnacentral:rRNA from 1 species
UACAGAGGUCCCGAGCGUUGUUCGGAUUCACUGGGCGUAAAGGGCGCGUAGGCGGCCACCGCAAGUCGACUGUGAAAUCUCUGGGCUUAACCCAGAACGGUCAGCCGAUACUGCGGGGCUAGAGUGCAGAAGGGGCAACUGGAAUUCUCGGUGUAGCGGUGAAAUGCGUAGAUAUCGAGAGGAACACCUGCGGCGAAGGCGGGUUGCUGGGCUGACACUGACGCUGAGGCGCGAAAGCUAGGGGAGCGAACAGG